GUCAAGUGACUAAGCGCAUACGGUGGAUGCCUUGGCAGUCAGAGGCGAUGAAGGACGUUGUAGCCUGCGAUAAGCUUCGGGGAGUCGGCAAACAGACUUUGAUCCGGAGAUGUCUGAAUGGGGGAACCCAGC
rnacentral:rRNA from 1 species